rnacentral:rRNA from 1 species
AGUGAACGCUGGCGGUAGGCCUAACACAUGCAAGUCGAACGGCAGCACAGUAAGAGCUUGCUCUUACGGGUGGCGAGUGGCGGACGGGUGAGGAAUACAUCGGAAUCUACUUUUUCGUGGGGGAUAACGUAGGGAAACUUACGCUAAUACCGCAUACGACCUACGGGUGAAAGCAGGGGAUCUUCGGACCUUGCGCGAUUGAAUGAGCCGAUGUCGGAUUAGCUAGUUGGCGGGGUAAAGGCCCACCAAGGCGACGCUCCGUAGCUGGUCUGAGAGGAUGAUCAGCCACACUGGAACUGAGACACGGUCCAGACUCCUACGGGAGGCAGCAGUGGGGAAUAUUGGACAAUGGGCGCAAGCCUGAUCCAGCCAUACCGCGUGGGUGAAGAAGGCCUUCGGGUUGUAAAUCCCUUUUGUUGGGAAAGAAAAGCAGCAGGUUAAUACCCCGCUGUUCUGACGGUACCCAAAGAAUAAGCACCGGCUAACUUCGUG